rnacentral:rRNA from 1 species
UACAGAGGGGGCAAGCGUUGUUCGGAAUUACUGGGCGUAAAGGGCUCGUAGGCGGCCAACUAAGUCAGACGUGAAAUCCCUCGGCUUAACCGGGGAACUGCGUCUGAUACUGGAUGGCUUGAGUUUGGGAGAGGGAUGCGGAAUUCCAGGUGUAGCGGUGAAAUGCGUAGAUAUCUGGAGGAACACCGGUGGCGAAGGCAGCCCCCUGGGCCAACACUGACGCUCAGGCACGAAAGCGUGGGGAGCAAACAGG